rnacentral:rRNA from 1 species
CGGGGCCUACGGGGGGCAGCAGUGGGGAAUAUUGCGCAAUGGGCGACAGCCUGACGCAGCGACGCCGCGUGAGGGAUGAAGGUCUUCGGAUCGUAAACCUCUGUCAGGAGGGAAGAAGUGGUUAUAUGCGAAUAGUGUAUGACUUUGACGGUACCUCCAAAGGAAGCACCGGCUAACUCCGUGCCAGCAGCCGCGGUAAUACGGAGGGUGCGAGCGUUAAUCGGAAUCACUGGGCGUAAAGCGCGCGUAGGCGGCUUUUCACGUCAGGGGUGAAAUCCCACGGCCCAACCGUGU